GACGAACGCUGGCGGCGUGCUUAACACAUGCAAGUCGAACGGAAAGGCCCUGCUUUUGUGGGGUGCUCGAGUGGCGAACGGGUGAGUAACACGUGAGUAACCUGCCCUUGACUUUGGGAUAACUUCAGGAAACUGGGGCUAAUACCGGAUAGGAGCUCCUGCUGCAUGGUGGGGGUUGGAAAGUUUCGGCGGUUGGGGAUGGACUCGCGGCUUACCAGCUUGUUGGUGGGGUAGUGGCUUACCAAGGCUUUGACGGGUAGCCGGCCUGAGAGGGUGACCGGCCACAUUGGGACUGAGAUACGGCCCAGACGCCUACGGGAGGCAGCAGUGGGGAAUAUUGCACAAUGGGCGGAAGCCUGAGGCAGCAACGCCGCGGGCGGGAUGACGGCCUUCGGGUUGUAAACCGCUUUCGCCUGUGACGAAGCGUGAGUGACGGUAAUGGGUAAAGAAGCACCGGCUAACUACGUG
rnacentral:rRNA from 1 species